AUGGUCGACUGGAGCGUGCUGGAGGUGGCGGGAUGCGUCCGCAACGACUAUGUCCCCGUGAGGAUCACCCUCACGUUCUUCGACGAGAAAGAGCACCAGAGGCAGCAGCGGGCCGCCGCCAGGGCCGAGUGGUGCCGCCGGCUCAAAAGAAGCAUCUUCGACUUUGACAGUAGCAAUCUCAUUAAUCUGAACCUGGGGCUAGUACUACCAAAGUGCCACUCCUUGAGCACCGAGAAGGUCCGGCCAGGUCCGGUAACCUUUCUCGACACCAAGCAGCAACAUCAGCGAGAAGAGAAAAAGAAGAUGACAAAGAUGGUGGAGAAGAUGGCGACGGGCCUGCGCACAGCCGACAAGUCAUCAGAUUCACUUCUCGUGCCUUUGUUGAGUUGA
rnacentral:rRNA from 1 species